rnacentral:misc_RNA from 1 species
UCUUCGUAGGUGAACCUGCGGAGGGAUCAUUACAGAGUUCAUGCCCUACCGGGUAGAUCUCCCACCCUAUGUUAUUAUUACUUUGUUGCUUUGGCGGGCCGUUAGGCUCCGGCCCGACUACCGGCCCCGGCUGGUAUGCGCCCGCCAGAGGACCCAAAACCCUGAAUAUUAGUGUCGUCUGAGUACUAUAUAAUAGUUAAAACUUUCAACAACGGAUCUCUUGGUUCUG